rnacentral:lncRNA from 1 species
UUUACAAAUAACUGUGACAUAGGAAGGUCACCUUUUCAUCCUGGUGCUAACACCAGCUGGAAUGGCAGUAUUACCAGAAUAAAAUCCUGAAAAGAAACGCAGGUCUCUUGAAGUAUGAAGCUUGAUGCUGCCUCCAUCCUUCUUCCUCGAAUCAUGCUGGCUCUCCCUCAGCAAAGUACUGCCUCUCCCUCCAGGAAGAUUG